AUUGAACGCUGGCGGCAGGCUUAACACAUGCAAGUCGAGCGGAGAUGAGGUGCUUGCACCUUAUCUUAGCGGCGGACGGGUGAGUAAUGCUUAGGAAUCUGCCUAUUAGUGGGGGACAACAUUCCGAAAGGAAUGCUAAUACCGCAUACGCCCUACGGGGGAAAGCAGGGGAUCUUCGGACCUUGCGCUAAUAGAUGAGCCUAAGUCAGAUUAGCUAGUUGGUGGGGUAAAGGCCUACCAAGGCGACGAUCUGUAGCGGGUCUGAGGGGAUGAUCCGCCACACUGGGACGGGGACACGGGCCAGACUCCUACGGGGAGCAGCAGUGGGGAAUAUUGGACAAUGGGCGGAAACCUGAUCCAGCCAUGCCGCGUGUGUGAAGAAGGCCUUUUGGUUGUAAAGCACUUUAAGCGAGGAGGAGGCUACCUGGAUUAAUACUCUAGGAUAGUGGACGUUACUCGCAGAAUAAGCACCGGCUAACUCUGUGCCAGCCGCCGCCGUAAAAC
rnacentral:rRNA from 1 species